rnacentral:lncRNA from 1 species
CUCUCUACUUUCUCUCUAGAAUUUUUUCUUUAGAUUAUUUCUCUCUCCUAAGAUUUUUAGAAUUUUGAGAAGAAUGAUGAUGAAUUUAAAUGAUCCUCGUGAUAGAUUUUUGAUCCGUGAUCAUCGGACGGCACACCGACAUCCACUUCGAUCAGAUUAAGUAUUUUUAGAUUUUAUUUCUCAUGAUCUUAUUGAAUUGUCCACAUGAUAAUCUUAGCAUGAUUUGAUCUGAUCGAUCGAAUUUGUUGAAUCAUAUUGUCUGAAGAAUUCAAGAUGAGUUUUCUCUCUCUAAAAUUUUUUCUCUCUUGAUUUAUUCUCUCUCUAAAAAGGUUAGUAAAUGAAGAAAUUUUUUUUAAUAAUCCUAAUCUGAUUCUAAUGAAGAAUCCUGAUCCAUGAUUGUCAGAGAGCAUACUGGCACCCACCUUGAUCAGAACAUGAAUCUUUAGAUUUGAUCAUCCAUGAUCCCGAUCUAGUCAUGACUUGAUUUGAUCAUGUUGAUUUCACUACUCGAGAUAUUGCACCAAUCGUAAUGUUGGAUUGUGUCACCUGAUCAAUUCGAAUUGUACCUCAUGAAUUCUCUCUCCUCUGAUUUUUUCUCUCCACUUGAUUUUAUGAAAUCGAUGAAGAAACCUCGGUCCUAUCACUUCGAAUCCGAUUUGAUCUGAUAGUCAAA